rnacentral:lncRNA from 1 species
GAAUAUCGGGGCCUGCGAUCGCCUUAAUUGCGGUUUUACUGGGUUUAACAACGGUCGGGGUAAUAGUGCUGUUCACAGUGAAGUUUAAGAAGAAUUCAUGCACCGAAUCUCACCCCGAGCAUGGCACCUUCCAGCAGAUACCCGGAGAAGGGAAUGACAAUGAUCUGGCACGGAAUAUCGACUGACGGAGGGGUCAGAGGUGUGCAAGAUACGGGCCCGUUUCCACCAGCAUCAUCAUUACUUACGUCCGAAGCGAGGCCGUUAAUCGCUGAUCUCCGUUCCCUUUCUUCAUUUCUUUUUUACAGACUGCAGUAUGCAAUAAACGGGCAUACAUGGACUUGCGAAAAGAUAUCGAGACUGGGAACGGGGACGAAAGACUGCGAGUCUUAUCUACGUAGGCUACCAUUCUUAAACAUCAUCUCGCACUACCUCAACAUUCAGAGAGCGCAUCACUUUGGUAUGGUAUGUAUACCAUCUGUGACUGCAGCGUCAUAUAUCCAUCUAUACUUACUCGGAUUCCCAUCGGUAAUCGAAAGAUUCCGAGAUGUGUAACGGAGAAGUUAAACUUGCUGGUCAAGUUUUUAGUACUUCUCUUUAAUUACCUCUUUUCCUAUUACAGUCGACUCUCGCAUUAGGGUCGGCAACAAAGUGAAAUGUUAGAAGAGAAUAGAACCUAUUGUUGGUAAGGGUAUGCUAAUUCUUGAAAAUAUCCUCCCCUGCACCCCCAUGACUGGCCAUAUUGAGAGAGUCGACUGUAUAUCGAUAUCUGCACUUAUUUUAUACAUCUAUUUGUACAUAUUACAUAAGAUUGUGCGAAAGAAUACUUUGAAGGAAAUUAUUCUUUCGAGUUGAUUCUAAUAAAUUUUGCACAAAAACUA